rfam:Salmo salar isolate Sally breed double haploid chromosome ssa18, whole genome shotgun sequence.
ACUUCUGUAUGUUGUAAGUCGCUCUGGAUAAGAGCGUCUGCUAAAUGACGUAAA